rnacentral:rRNA from 1 species
GGACCCGCACAAGCGGUGGAGCAUGUGGUUUAAUUCGAAGCAACGCGAAGAACCUUACCAGGUCUUGACAUCUCUUGCAUACCCUAGAGAUAGGGGAAAUCCUUCGGGACAAGAAGACAGGUGGUGCAUGGUUGUCGUCAGCUCGUGUCGUGAGAUGUUGGGUUAAGUCCCGCAACGAGCGCAACCCUUAUAAUUAGUUGCCAGCAUUCAGAUGGGGACUCUAAUUAGACUGCCGGUGACAAACCGGAGGAAGGUGGGGAUGACGUCAAAUCAUCAUGCCCCUUAUGACCUGGGCUACACACGUGCUACAAUGGAUGAUACAACGAGCAGCGAACUCGCGAGGGUAAGCGAAUCUCUUAAAGUCAUUCUCAGUUCGGAUUGUUCUCUGCAACUCGAGAACAUGAAGCCGGAAUCGCUAGUAAUCGCGGAUCAGAACGCCGCGGUGAAUACGUUCCCGGGUCUU